UCAGGUAGUCAAGAAGAAAAAAGGAACCAUGUCCGCGUCUAUUUCAAUUCUUUCCUGUAGAUUUGUGUCCAGUCGAUUAUUACUUUUCGCCAAAAACACUUGUUUUUCUUCCGUGAUUGAAUUUAUUGUUUCAUUUAUCUCGAGGCAUUGAAUGAUAUAUUAAAGUAUUUCUUCAUAGCAACAUCAUCUACGCAAGGACAAGCCCCCACAUAAUAAACUGAUCAAUUAUGAAAAUAAAAAGGAACACACAACGAGUAAAA
rnacentral:lncRNA from 1 species